AGUAAAUGGGGAUGACGCUGUUCAAAGUACCCCACCUCCAAUAGGCACAACACGAACGCCUGAGAACGGAAAAGGUCUGGCGGGAGGCGCCAUUGCGGGGAUCGUAAUAGGUUGCCUGCUGCUGGUCGCUGUUCUGGGGUUCGUGGGCUACUCUUAUCGCGACAGAUUGCUCACCACCGUGCGACCCUCUUCAAACGCUGGUCCCCCAUUUGUGACCGUGCAAGAGACCAAGACAGAGGGAGAAGAUGACAGUCAGCACUCUACGGUGUAGGCAUCACACGCGCUUGUGCUUUUAUCUUUAUUACAAAUUUAAAACAAGCAAUCAGAGAAUGCAUAGGAAACAAAGUUGAAAACAAGCUGUCGAAGAAACAAGCUAAACAUCCUUAAUAGUGUCUGUCUGUUCAUUUUCUAACAAUCUUAACAAUGUGUCAGGUGACAAUGUUGAUACCAUUCGUCCCUGGAUAUGAUACCGUUGCCUCAGCCUUGGCUUCUUAAUGACUAUGAACAAUAUAAAUUAUGAGUGUUCCCUUUUUUUCCUAGCCCCUUAUAUAUUCUUGCGCAACACUUCCUUUUCUCUCAGUUUCAGCGUACAAAUGAAAAUAGGUAUGUUUAGUUAGUGUUUUUAGAAUAAAUAUGCAUUCAGAUCCAUACGCUACCAAUUGAUUUUCAAUCUAAAAUAUUACUUAUUUUCUAGAGAAAAUAAAAUAAAGAUCAAGUAAUUUAUGAAAAUUAUAUUUGGUUAAGUUUUAGCGAAUGUUGUCUGCUCUAAUUUAUUGCUUGCAGGUAUAUUUUCAUGGAAAACGUUUAUUCUGACCUCCCACGUUUGAGUUAUCUUGAAUACGUAACGAAAUAUCAAGUCUCAGCCAUGCCUAAGCAUAUAUAGGCCCCGAUAAUUGCUCUUUCCUAUUUAUGAUCAUCACUGCGGGAACCGGGGAUUCUUCCCGUUUAAAAUAAAAUAUUCAUUUGAAAUAACAAAUGAAUCUAAUU